ensembl:lncRNA
GUUAUCUUAGUGUGUUCAGUUUACGUUUCCUUGUCUCGUCAGGUCUAAUUUGCCCCAGCUGUGUUUCCCUCCUGUGGUCCAUUCCCUGAUUGCUCCUUCUAUGUAUUUAAGCCCUGUGUGUCAGUUGGUCAUGUUCGCGAUCUCCCCCGCGUUGUAAAUAGUUUGACGUCUUGUUGUAAAUAAAUAGUUUGUUGUAAAUACUUUCGUUUCGGGAUUUUGGUGGAGAGCCUUAGUGGGGUUUUUUUUUGUGUGUUUUUUUUUCUUUAUUUUUACUUUUUUUCGUGUUGCACUCCGGUUGCCUAGGCCGGGGUGUAACAUAUGGGGGCUCGUCCAAUCGCUGGAGGGGCCCGGGGACCGCUUCAGCCGUCCGCCGUCGCUGGAGGGUCCGAGGGAGGGACCGCUUCAGCCGUCUGUCUUCGCUGGAGGGUCCGAGGGCCGGUCCAGCCUUCAUCCGCCUUCGCUGGAGGGUCCGAGGGACCGUCCCGGCCUUCGUCGUCUGCUGGAGGGUCCGAGGGACUGCUCCAGCCUUCAUCCGCCUUCGCUGGAGGGUCCG